CAUGGUCGUACCUCAGUAUUUACAGAGUCAGUGACCAAUCUAGGACUGGUUCUAUGUUCCCACCAGGAAAAGAAAACGACUCACGUUUUCCAUCAGACAUCUUUGUGAAACCCACAGAAGCACACGAGAAGAUCAAGUGAGACCAAAGUUUAUUGAACCUGCAGAGAAACCAGAUCACUGCUGUGGAGACGACAGCACACUUAGAAAUAACAUAAAUAACAGCAAAGCUACUGAAGACAUGAAAACAUGGAUUACAUCUACAUUUUAGUUACAUACCAUUUAUUAUUGUUUAUGUGUAAAUUAUGUCUCGGUCAUGCUUUUAUUCUGAAAGGCCUGGUGAAGAAUUGUUCCCUCAAGUAUGAAAAGUAAAUAAAAUCUUUAUGGUAACAUUCUUCUUCUGCUUCUUUAUAAAAGAAAACAAUAACUUUCCAUUUGAACUUUCAGUGAUUUGAACUCAGAGGUUGUGUGAGGUUUCCUUCAUGAGGAGAACAAACAGAAUAUAAACCAGUGUGUUUACAGUGAAUGUGUCAGGUCUGAGCUGCCGUGUGGACCAGUUAGAGAGCAGCAGCUGGAUCCCAGUGGUUGGACUGGUGGACGACUUCAGUGAGGAGUCGAUGACAUUUGGCUCUGGUAGAAACUCUGCACACACAAACACACAGGAGGAAAAAAAAUUAAAAGAAGAUAUCCAAAAGAUUUUCAAAUUAAAGGUUUCACAUACAUGUGCACAAUAGCUGUUUGAAAUACAUAUUUGGUGGCCUGAAACAGGCAGAGUCCAUAAUUACAGAGAAUCCAACGAUGACUUUCAUACCAGCUUUGAUGGAAGCUACGACUCCUGUCCCCCAUUAAUGUGACUGGAAAUGUCCUCAAACUGGGCAGCACUGGUGGAUCAUCUUUGUACGUCUGAUAAGAGAUGAAUGCAGAGUAAACAUGAGGCUGUAACUGAGGACAAUAACUGAUCAGUGUUAACUUAUUACUUUAUUCUGUCAUUAUUGUUCAUUACUGUCAGUUACAAUGACUGUAUGAAUUGUAAUGACACGACACUCGCAGUCACACAGGUCUGUUCAACAUCACAAACCGCUGGUUGUCCCUCUUCCUCUCCCUCACAGCUCGUCUUCCUCACUCUCAGGACUGUCCCUCUCUGUACUGCAACAGUGUCAGAAACCCACAUUUGAUUUUGUUGUUUAUUUAUCAUAUUUAAUUUUUCAUCUAAUGUCUUUUUGAUUAAUGUGUGAAUUAGGGUAAUUGAGGUCUAUCAAUGUCAAAAAUCUCACUGUAUGAUUUCAGUCAGUGUUUAAAUAAAUCCAACAGGAAAUGAGAUGUUUAUGUUAAAACAGUGGCAGUGUUUUCAAAUGAUGGCACAGUGAUUGUGCUUAGAAAUACUUUUUUUUUUUUUUUUUACAGGAAUAUUAUGUGAAAUACAUUUUUGAGAGAUCAAAAUGUUGUCAUUCAGGAGAAAAUCUUCCCUUUUAACAGGAUCCAUGAAAACAACCUGCUCUAGAUGAAACACCAGCACGAACAUUAACACACAAAUUCAGCAGGAAUCCCCUGAAUGUAUCUUCAUAUUUCACAAUACUCGCAGAAAGGGAGGAGUCUAUGACUGUAUCAUCACUCGUCAUUAGUUCUGGGCAAGCGCUCCAAGCCGGUCUGGAACUUUUCACUUCAACUUUUGUACCACUCCGAUCUGAUCAGGACCCAAAAACUGCACGUAAUGGAUGUAACAUCAGUCUGCAGGAAUCUACUGGUUGUCCUUUUUUCUUGAUCGUGACUGCAGAUGCAGAUGCGGUACCUUUUAAAGACAGUCUGGCGCGUUGGCAAUGAGCGAUACAGCAGCUGGAUCGAUCACGUGACUUUGUCUUAAAGCGACGCACGCUUCGAGACAGGCUUCGCUCUGUGAGCUUGAUACAUGCGUCGGUGCGUCAGUGUUGCAGGACCCAUCACUAGUCGUGUGACCACAAAUUUUAAUAGAAGGAUUGAUCGACGGCGCGCAGGGAAACUAAUCAAUAUUAUCGCAGGUCAUGCAUAGAGCUGAUUCCCAGCUGCGCUGAGACCCAAAUAGUUUGCAGUGCGUGCCACGAUUGCAGUGUCGCUAAGCGGGGUGUGACGGGUUGCAGUGUUGUGUUAUUUUCACAACGUUUGUGUCGUAAGUCUCAUGUGCAGCUGGGAUAUCAGCAGGAUGUGUUGUAAGUCCUGUCUGGAAAUAACUGGGAAUUUGUAUGUCUAAUUAAUGUAAUAAAUACAUUAUCAAUUUAUAUCUUUGCCCCAUUUACUCAUCCUUUGUCCUCGGUUACACAACAACAACUACAACUAACUUAAUCUAAAUUAUUUAAUGUAUUUGGUAGACCAUAAAAACAGCAGAGCUGCAAAAACAAGUAGAUGUCAAAUAUUAAUAAAUACCAAUAACUAGAAAUGUGCAUAAAAGAGUUUUGCUGGGUGUUGUCAGUGUCAGUAGUGUGUAUGUAAUUUCUAUACAAUCCAUGCAAAGAAGCUGUCGUUAUUAACACAAAGUGGUGCUAAUAAAAUGGAAAGCACAAGUUUCUUAUAACACUAAAAUCUCAAAGUGCUUGACUUAUAUGUAUAAAUCAUUUUAUGUACUAUUAAACACUUUUAUUGUGAAAGCACGAAAACGGAAACUCUCACUGUAAUGAUCCUGUGUAAUCACCACACAGGUUUACAGCUGUUGGUUUUGGCUCUGUUGGUGUUUUUGCUUUGUUUUGUUUUUUGUUAUUGCUAACCCUUAAAGUUUGGAUUUGUUUGGCUGAAUUUUAAAUUCAUGUCAUGUUCUAAGAAUAUCUCCAACACAACAGGCUGAUAUGCAGCUCCAAACCAUGAUUGGCUGCUGUACAAGUGAAUGGUUUUAACUUUGACCUCUCUGCUCUGUGUUGUUUCCUCUUUCAG
ensembl:lncRNA